GAUGAACGCUGGCGGCGUGCUUAACACAUGCAAGUCGAACGGAAAGGCUCCUGCUUGCAGGGGUACUCGAGUGGCGAACGGGUGAGUAACACGUGGGUGAUCUGCCCUGCACUUCGGGAUAAGCCUGGGAAACUGGGCCUAAUACCGGAUAGGACCACAUUUUGGAUGGUGUGGUGGAAAGUUUUUCGGUGUGGGAUGAGCUCGCGGCCUAUCAGCUUGUUGGUGGGGUAAUGGCCUACCAAGGCGUCGACGGGUAGCCGGCCUGAGAGGGUGUACGGCCACAUUGGGACUGAGAUACGGCCCAGACUCCUACGGGAGGCAGCAGUGGGGAAUAUUGCACAAUGGGCGCAAGCCUGAUGCAGCGACGCCGCGUGGGGGAUGACGGCCUUCGGGUUGUAAACUCCUUUCGCUAGGGACGAAGCGCAAGUGACGGUACCUGGAGAAGAAGCACCGGCUAACUACGUG
rnacentral:rRNA from 1 species